UUCAAUUAUCAUCACUCGUUUUGGAGCGUCAAAGAUGCACCGGCCAGAAGAUGCAAGUUUCUUCAAUUCAUCAGCAAAUUGCGCAACUGGGCACCAUAAUCGUUUCCCUUCGUUAAAGCUGCCUUCGUUCGACAGGAAGUAUGGUGACUACAUGAAGUUUAUCACUGCCUUUACUAGCAUGGUACAUGAUGACGCUUCAAUAUAAACUGUUGACAAAUUUAACAACCUGCUUAACUGUUUGUCUGGUCCCGCGCUGAGUGUCGUGGCCCCCUUUCAAGUGUCCGAAAUCAAUUAUCCAAAGGUGUUAAGGCAGUUAAAGGAGCGCUACGAUAAAAAGAUUUAAGUUCCGCAUUGAUUGUCGCUUAGUGAAUUAAGGAGGACAUACUGCGAAUAAAACGGCUUUACAACGGCAGUCAGCCUGCGUUACCUUUCUACUUGCUGCUCGAGCAGAGGUACGCAGCUUGUUAAUACUAAAAUUGGUGAUAAACUGUUAGCCCAACGGCAAUGAAAACGACAAUCAUGAGGCGCGCUGAAGGGUUAUGCGUCUUUAAAGGGUCAGGCUUCCAAUAAAUUCAUAAAAUCACUCUGGACAC